UCUUACAGAUAGACUAACUUAAAACAAAAGAAACUCAACUGGCUUCAAAAUGACUCCAGCUGCAUGGCCCAGCUGGAGGGAGACAGAAGGCUUUGUUCCCUGUUGACUCCUUCAGGGGCUGGAAGGGCCCAGUGUUGUUCUUGACAGUUGGAUACUUUAGGCCAGUGCCAGGGGGGAGGAUAAGAGGCACAUUCUCCAGCUUUGUGUGCUGAGAUGUAUGUGUGCCAUUGGACGCUCUCCUUCUGCUGCCUCUGCUGAUGGGCUCCAUCAGACCCUGGGGCAUUAGGCAUCCAUUCACUUGAGCAGCACUUCAGUACCAGAUCCCCAAGAGCAUGAGAAGAAUAUCCCUAUGACUGAAAUGUGCAGUGCAUUUUGCUGGUUUAUCUCCUGCUGACUUAAAUCAAGGACAAGAUUAGACUCAACAAUUAAAUUCCCAUCAGUUUGUUUCAGCGCAGGAAUGUUUUCUCCUCUGUAUUUCACAAGUCUUGGAUUCUUGGACUGUGGCUUAGAUGCAACUGCUGUAAGAAGAGAUUCCAACAACCAUGAAAUGAAAAUAAA